AUUUGAUCACUUGGUCCUGGUUGCUGAGGGCAUUGUUUGGGGAGACUAUAGAACCUUUAGGAAGUAAGAGGAUGUAUGUCACAGUGGGCGGACUUUGAGAGUUUAUAACCUUGCCCCACUUCCUGCUUGCUCACUCAUGCUUCCCACCUCCAUGUGCUAACAAAAUGUGACCAUCCAGCUUCCUGUUUCCUGCUAACAAGCCAUGAUGGACUCCAGCCUUCUGGGAGUGUGAGGCAAAACCAACUAUUUCCUCCUGAAGUUGUUUUUGGUUGUGGUUUAUCACAGCCAUGGAAGAGCACGUGUCACUGAAAUCAUCACAUGAAGAGUGCAUGGGCUGAACCCUACAUUUCAGGACAUGCAUGAUAACUGUGUGAGCCAGACAACCAGAUUUGAUGAGGACUGCUGGCCAUUAUCCAGGUUUAGAUGGGUGUUCCUUGAAGAAUUCAAAUUGGACUAAGAAGACAUAGAGGAGUUUCUUCCUAUGAGUUUCAAGUGCUGGUGCUGAUCCAACAUCAACUUGUACCUUGUGAGACUCUUCUGUCCUUCUGAUUCUAGUGUCUAUUUGCAAGAAGCACCACAAUUGGUCCUAGUGCAGGGAGCCUCAUGAACCUGGAACUUCAAUAAGUAGGCUAAGCUAGGUGACCAGCAAGCUUCCAGGAUCCAGCUGUCUCCACCUCCCAUCUCAUGGCUGCUGGGAUUUUAACUGCAUCACCACACCUGGCCUUUUGCAUAGGUUCUGGAGACUCUUAAGGCCUUGUCAACUGAACCAUUUCUUUAGGCAUUUUUUUUUUUUUGUUUUGUUUUGUUUUGAGAUGCAGUCUAUGUAGCCCAGGCUACUCUCAAAGUCACAACCCUCUUACUUCAGUCCCCCAAGUGUUUGUUCCACUAAUGGCUAGCAUUACUUAGUCAUCACUGGUGUGUGUGUGUGUGUGUGUGUGUGUGUGUGUGUGUGUGUGUUUGCACAUGCGCACACAUGCAUACGUGCAUUGUAUACAUAUACAGGUGCACUAUUCAUGCCCAUGGUAGAGACUAAAAGGUGUCUUCCUCUACCCCUUUCCACCAAGUUCUCUUGCUAAACUAGAGCUUAUAGUGUUAGACAGACUGACCAGCCUAUCUCCAGAGCCCGUAGUGCUUCCAUGCAUGUGCUGCCACACCCAGCUUUUAUGUAAGUGCUGGGAUAUGAACCCAGGUCCUCAGGUUUGCCCUAUGCUCACUGAGCCAUCUCCCCACUUUGUCCUUAAAGUACUAAACCCUGUAUUGUUUUAUUGGCAGGUGGAUCACAGGAUAAACAGUUCAAAUGUC